UCCGGUUUGUCACCGGCAGUCUCCCUAGAGUUCCCGGCCGAACCGACCCCCGGCUCUCACCGGGGUGCGACCGCCAUGUCAAGGGCUGGUAAGGUUCUGCGCGUUGCGUCGAAUUAAACCACAUGCUCCACCGCUUGUGCGGGCCCCCGUCAAUUCCUUUGAGUUUUAACCUUGCGGCCGUACUCCCCAGGCGGUGGGCUUAAUGCGUUAGCGUCGACACUGCGGGGCAAGCCCCCCAACGUCUGGCCCACAUCGUUUAGGGCGUGGACUAC
rnacentral:misc_RNA from 1 species